ensembl:lncRNA
CUUCUAAGGCCCUCCCGGGUUAUAAUCCUCACUGUGGCUCAUAAUAAACUCACCCCAGUUUUAAUUUGUAGGUUGGUUAUGGAUUAUUUGCGUCAACAUUUCUUGGCAUAGUGGCAGCAGGAUUUCAGAGAAACCCACCAGAGACCGCCUAGGCUCUACACUGAACCAGCAUUCGGUACCAAUAGGGGCCCAUUGAGCCCCCCCGGAUCAUUGCAUUCUUCAGGUGACUCUGGAAUUGUUCAGACUUUACAGCAAAGGAAAACUAAAAGAAAAGCAGGAAAUUAAGCUUCUAAAAGCCAACCAGUUCCCGAAUGGGCAGCCUCAUCUCUCACCUUCAGCUGACUUCAUGCUGUGACUUGCAAGUGCUUAACGAAAUAAUGAUAGCUGUUAAUGGCUGAGCUCCCAGACCUUAAGGAUCAUGGACUAUAACCUGGAGAAUUUAUCAAAAGAGGCAUCAAAUAAAAGACUCUUUGCAGCCUGUUGAAAAAGACCGUACCAAGAUGAGAAGAAGACGGCAUCUGUUGUAGGCAGCUGUCCCAAGACUCUGGACCAGGCCUGUAUUCCCAACCUUGUGUCUCCACAUUUUUUGUGUGCUUAAACUGUAUACCUAUUUUAUAAUUGUUCCAGUUAAGGUUUCAAAACACUACAUACUUAAAGAAAGUGACUAAUUUGGAACAGACUGGUCUUGAAGGCCGAGCAUUUAUCAGGUGGCUCCUAAUGGAACUCAAUGGUUAUGUGGAACAAAUCUCUGGCCUUGGCUACUGCCUGGAUGGCUAAAACACUGCACCCUGAGUUCCCCUUGGAAGCAUGGAAGGAUUCAGACUGAGCUAGCAUCUGUUGCCAAUCUCCCUCUCUUUAAGCCCAGAUGAGCUCAUUCAGUGUUCCACUGGUAUGACCACCAAGAAGCUAGCUUUAGCUGUUCCUCCUUUGGGGCUAGAGGAUGUCACAGCACACAGAGAAGCCCUUAACAGUAGUCAAGCAGGAAUAGCCUUGUUGGAUACUGAAAUGUCUUUAAUGAGAAAGGCCGUCCUUCAAAAUAGAAAGGCCUUAGAUAUUCUUACAGCAUCCCAAGGUGGUACAUGUAAGUCAUUCAAACUGAAUGUGUGUUUUUAUACCUGAGGAAUCUUCCAAUGUGUCAUUUCUGCUAAAGCACAAAAAGAAAAGCAGGUGAAUGCCUUAAGCAAUCUUAUAUCUGCUCUUGAUUUGUUUAGUUGGCUCCCUUCCAGUAUUGGCUUGUAGAUUGCAAUUCCUAUUUCUAUUACUCCUUGGAAUUCUUGUAUUGGUCAUAAUAUUCAAACUAAUUACUGCGUUCUCAGCAUUGUAUGAUUGGCAUGCAAGCUAGAGUAAUGAUUGCUGAGCCAACUUGAGACAGCUGAUGGAUCCUACAGCCCUGAAUGAAUCCCCUCUUAUUAAGGCUACGCCUAAGAAUUCAUUUUUAAGCCAAUCAUUUCAAGUAUUGGAUUACCUAUUCUAUGAUCAUUAUAAACAACGUAACUAUAAGAAGUCAUGUAAAAGCACAUAUGCAAUGUUUGUGUGAUAAUCUAAAAAUAAUUGACAAGUUACAUAGCCUAAGAAACACUUCCCCUGUUAAUAUAUAUCUCUAUGCUUGUCCGCUAUAUCUGACUAUCUCCCCCCAACAUGGAUAACUGGGCAAAUCAAUGAAAUAAAAGCCUAGCACCAAGGGACAUGAUGGACCCAGGGCAGGCAGCAAUCACUCUGGCACCAAGGGAUGAUAUUUUGAUCAGCAAUGCUUUCUACUGAAAGAUUAUUGAUCAAAAGGGGAAAAUGACAAGAGAUUUUCACAUAUUGAGGUAUAUGGGGUAACUAUUCAAGUUUAAAACUCAUUCAGCUUGAACUAGAAAGCCUGACUUAUGGCCCAUCAAACAUACAUUGUUCAUCUGCUUAUCCAUUAAAGUAAGGAAUCUCUCUUGAGAUAAAGAAUGCAGACUUCCCCUCCGAUGCCCUAUUGGUAACAACACCCUAUUGGUAACAACAUCCUAUUGGUAAUGCCCGGAUUAGUCCCUUUCCUGGCAUCAUGAUCAUGUUGACCUGCUAAUUUGCAACUGAAUACCUCUUUGAAAUGUAUCCAG